AUUGAACGCUGGCGGCAGGCCUAACACAUGCAAGUCGAGCGGAAACGACAUUAUUGAUUCUUCGGAGGAUUUAAUGGGCGUCGAGCGGCGGACGGGUGAGUAAUGCCUAGGAAAUUGCCUUGAUGUGGGGGAUAACCAUUGGAAACGAUGGCUAAUACCGCAUAAUGCCUACGGGCCAAAGAGGGGGAUCUUCGGACCUCUCGCGUCAAGAUAUGCCUAGGUGGGAUUAGCUAGUUGGUGAGGUAAUGGCUCACCAAGGCGACGAUCCCUAGCUGGUCUGAGAGGAUGAUCAGCCACACUGGAACUGAGACACGGUCCAGACUCCUACGGGAGGCAGCAGUGGGGAAUAUUGCACAAUGGGCGAAAGCCUGAUGCAGCCAUGCCGCGUGUAUGAAGAAGGCCUUCGGGUUGUAA
rnacentral:rRNA from 1 species